CAAUAGCGUAUAUUAAUGUUGUUGCAGUUAAAAGCUCGUAGUUGGAUUUCUGGUGGGAGCGGCCGGUCCGCCGCAAGGUGUGUACUUGGUUGUCUCCUGUCAUCCUUGUGGGAACUGCUCUGGCAUUAAGUUGUCGGGGUUGGGGAACACAUCGUUUACUGUGAAAAAUUAGAGUGUUUAAAGCAGGCUUAUGCCGUUGAAUAUAUUAGCAUGGAAUAAUAAGAUAGGACUUUGGAACUAUUUUGUUGGUUUGCGUUACAAAGUAAUGAUUAAUAGGGACAGUUGGGGGGUAUUCGUAUUUCGUUGUCAGAGGUGAAAUUCUUGGAUUUAUGAAAGACGAACUUCUGCGAAAGCAUUUGCCAAGGAUGUUUUCAUUAAUCAAGAACGAAAGUUGGGGGCUCGAAGAUGAUCAGAU
rnacentral:rRNA from 1 species